CUCCCAGAGCUUCAGCCUCCCAGGGAGCAGCCCUGGGUCCGCCCCAACGCUCAGCCUUUCCCUUUGGACUCUUUCAGAAGAUUCGACAGCAAGACUCCGUCUCUCCCCACUUUCCUUUCAUCCCAGGAAGUGGAAUCUGCAAAGCGCUUUGUAAAGUUGCUUAAGGAGCAGACACUGCAGCCAAAAUGAAUCCCAAGGAAGAAAAAGUGAAAAUAAUCACAGAGGAGUUCGAUGAAAAUGAUGAGGAUGCGGGUGUGGGAAGCCAGAAGAAGACCUCAAAGAUGGCAAGACAGAAAAGGAAGAAACCGCUGCCCGCCGCUGGCCCCGAGGAAAUGGUGUCUGAAAAUCCCCACCUAGGCAACCAGCCGGAGCCCCUGCAGGAAGAUUCUGACACUCGCCCCUUGAGCAUGACCACCCGUCGAGGCCCCCGGAGCUUACCUCCAAUUCCUUCAGCUUCCAGAACGGGCUUUGCAGAAUUUUCCAUGAGGGAACGCAUGAGGGAGAAAUUGCAGGCUGCCAGGUCCAAAGCAGAAAGCACGCUGCUGCAGGAAAUCCCCACCCCUCGGCCCAGGCGCUUACAGAGUCCCGGUGAGAAAGAACUGGAGACCGAAUUUGGCACGGAGCCAGGGGAGGAGGCACAAAAGACUCAACAAGAAGAUGAUUCCCAAAGUCACUCGAGAGUAAAGUUCCGUGAUUCUGUACGAAAAAUCAAGACUAAACCCCCGGUCCCACCUGGCUUCCCUUCUGCCGAAGAAGCCUAUAACUUCUUCACUUUCAACUUUGAUCCUGAACCGGAGGAAUCAGAGGAAAAACCAAAAGCAAAAAAUAGAGAUGGAACUACCCAAGAGGAGGAGGAAGGAGAGGAAGAAGAGCCACCUGUGCAGGGAAUCCACAAAACGGAUGAACAAUUGCUGAUUAGUGCUACAGAGGCCGAGGCUUUUCUGUGGGGCUUAGAUCACGCAGCUGCAGAUUUUGUGGCAGUCAGACCUGCAGAUUAUGAAAGCGCCCACGUCCGACUACAGAUGGAAAAAGAACUCCUGUUCGUGCCCAGCAGGCUGACAGUGCCUACGUAUAAAAAGCUUCCCGAGAACGUACAGCCCAGAUAUCUGGAAGACGAAGGCCUGUACAUCGGCACAAGACCGGACGUGCCUCGCACCUGUCAGAACAUCAUGGAGAACAGGUUGCUGACACAGGAACCUGGAAGAAGGUGGUUCGGAGACGAUGGGCGAAUCGUAGCACUGCCAAACCCCAUCAAGCCAUUUCCUUCAAGACCACCGGUGUUGACACAGGAGCAAGACUUCAGGGCAGAACUUGAAACAUUGUAUAAAAAGGCGGUAAAAUAUGUCCACAGAAGUCAGCACAUGAUUGGGUCUGGAGACUCCCCGGGAAAUUUCCAACUGGACAUUGAUAUUUCAGGGUUAAUCUUCACUCAUCAUCCCUGUUUCAGCCGCGAGCAUGUUUUGGCAGCCAAGCUGGCCCAGUUAUAUGACCAGUACCUGGCAAGACACCAGAGAAACAAGGCAAAAUUUCUUACUGACAAGCUCCAAGCUCUAAGAAAUGCUGUUCAGACAGGACUUAACCCAGAAAAAACUCAUAAGUCUCUUGAUACGACCCAAAAAACUAUCAAUGAGUAUAAAUCUGAAAUUCGGCAAACAAGAAAACUGCGUGACGCUGAACAAGAAAAAGAUCGAAUGUUGCUUAAAACCAUCAUAAAAGUUUGGAAGGAGAUGAAAUCCCUUCGAGAAUUUCAGAGGUUUACAAAUACACCCUUGAAACUUGUUUUGAGAAAGGAAAAGGUUGACCAGAAAGCAGACGAAGAAGCAUACGAAGCAGAAAUUCAAGCCGAAAUAAGCGAGUUGUUGGAAGAACACAUGGAAGAGCACGAGCAGAAGAUGGAAGCGUACAGAGCCGCGUACCAACAGUGGAAAGCCUGGAAGAAAGCCCAGAGGGCCAAGAAGAAGAAAAAGAAGCAAGCAGUCGAAGAGCAUCCCGAAGAGGAGAUGGGGGAGCCGUAUCCUGAGGAGGAUCCGGUGAAACCGGUCCCCCCGGAACCCACCGAUCGGGCCCUGAUGGAGCACCAGGUGAGGGAGAGGGCAGCCCGGAGCAGGAGAAGGCCUGGGGAGCCGCUGCUGGUCCCGGAGCUGAGCCUGGCAGGGAGCGUCACACCCAACGAGCAGUGUCCCAGGGUGGAGGUCUUGCGAAGGGAGGACGUCAAGAGACGCUCAAUAUAUCUAAAGGUGAUCUUCAACGACAAAGAAGUGUCCAGGACCGACAGUCGGCCCCUCGGGGCAGACUUCCGAGUUCACUUUGGACAGAUUUUCAAUUUGCAAAUAUUCAACUGGCCGGAGAGUUUGACACUGCAGGUAUACGAAACAGUUGGACACAGUGGCACCACUUUGCUGGCAGAAGUGUUUCUGCCUAUUCCUGAAACGACCAUUGUCACUGGAAGGGCUCCCAUUGAAGAAGUGGAGUUUAGCAGUAACCAGCAUGUGACCCUGGACCACGAGGGUGUUGGAAGUGGAAUGCCCUUCUCGUUUGAAGCUGAUGGUAGCAAUCAACUGAUUCUCAUGACCUCGGGGAAAGUGUCCAACAGCGUGGCAUGGGCCAUUGGAGAAAAUGGGAUCCCUUUGAUUCCUCCACUGUCACAGCAGAACAUCGGAUUUAGAAGUGCUUUGAAGAGAGCAGAUGCCAUCUCGUCCAUCGGCACAUCGGGACUGACAGACUUGAAAAAGUUGGCCAAGUGGGCAGCAGAGUCCAAGCUCGACCCAAAUGACCCCAACAAUGCCCCUUUGAUGCAGCUAAUCUCGGUUGCUACUAGCGGUGAAUCCUACGUCCCUGAUUUCUUUCGACUGGAACAGCUGCAGCAAGAAUUUAACUUUGUUUCAGAUGAGGAGUUAAAUAGAUCCAAACGAUUCCGGCUUCUUUGUCUUAGAAGCCAAGAGGUGCCAGAAUUCCGAAAUUACAAGCAAAUUCCAGCAUAUGACCGGGAAAUUAUGGAAAAGGUAUUCCAGGACUAUGAGAAACGGUUACGAGACAGAAAUGUAAUUGAAACCAAGGACCACAUAGAUCCCCAUAGGGCCAUGGUAGCCAAGUACCUCCAACAGGUUAGAGAAUCAGUGAUCAAUCGUUUCCUAAUUGCAAAACACCAUUUUCUUCUUUCGGAUUUGAUAGUAGAAGAAGAAGUUCCCAAUAUCAGCAUUUUGGGGCUAAGCCUUUUCAAGCUGGCAGAACAAAAGCGACCACUGAGGCCAAGGAGAAAAGGCCGGAAGAAGGUGACGGCCCAGAACCUGUCCGACGGAGACAUAAAGGUGCUGGUGAACAUUAUCCGGGCUUAUGACAUUCCUGUGAGGAAGCCGACAGCAAGCAAAUUCCAGCAGCCAUCAAGGUCUUCAAGGACUUUCAGCGAAAAGCAUGCUGCCUCCCCAACCACACACAGCCCAACCCACAGUGCUGACUACCCCCUCGGCCAGGUUUUAGUACGUCCUUUUGUAGAAGUUUCUUUUCAACGAACGAUUUGCCACACAACUACAGCUGAAGGACCAAACCCCAGCUGGAAUGAAGAACUUGAACUUCCAUUUAGGGCCCCCAAUGGAGACUACAGCACAAGCAGUUUGCAGUCAGUGAAAGAUGACGUGUUCAUUAACAUUUUUGAUGAAGUGCUCUAUGAUGUCCUCGAGGAUGACCGUGAAAGAGGAAGUGGAAUCCACACCCGUAUUGAGAGACACUGGUUGGGAUGCGUGAAGAUUCCAUUUAGCACGAUAUAUUUCCAAGCCAAGAUUGAUGGGACAUUUAAAAUAGACAUUCCCCCCGUUCUCCUGGGCUACAGUAAGGAACGGAGCAUGAUUAUCGAGCGGGGUUUUGACUCCGUGCGAAGCCUGAGUGAAGGCUCCUACAUCACCCUGUUCAUCACCAUGGAGCCUCAGCUGGUUCCCGGGGAGUCGGUUCGAGAAAAGUUUGAUUCUCAGGAAGAUGAGAAAUUGCUGCAAGCAACGGAGAAGUUUCAAGCUGAAUGUGCCUUAAAGUUUCCACAUCGUCAAUGCCUCACGACAGUGACUGACAUAAGUGGAAAAACCGUCUUUAUCACUCGUUACCUCAAGCCAUUAAACCCUCCACAGGAGCUCUUGGAGGCCUGCCCCAACAACCCACAAGCAACGGCAGAACUGGUGGCCCGAUAUGUGUCAUUGAUUCCUUUCUUGCCUGACACUGUUUCAUUUGCUGGCAUCUGUGACCUGUGGAGCACAUCUGACCAAUUUCUUGAUCUCCUGGCAGGAGACGAAGAAGAGCAUGCGGUUUUACUAUGUAAUUAUUUUCUCUCCCUGGGUAAAAAGGCCUGGCUGGUGAUGGGCAGUGCUAUUCCUGAGGGUCCAACUGCCUAUGUUCUAACUCGGGAGCAAAGUCACUAUUUAAUAUGGAAUCCCUGCAGUGGACAUUUUUAUGGACAAUUCGAUACAUUCUGUCCCUUAAAAAGUGUGGGCUGUUUAAUAGGUCCCGAUAAUAUUUGGUUUAAUAUUCAACGACAUGACUCACCACUACGGAUAAAUUUUGAUGUCACCAAGCCCAAGCUAUGGAAGUCUUUCUUUUCAAGAAGUCUUCUAUAUCCUGGCCUUUCCAGUGUUCAGCCAGAAGAACUAAUUUACCAGCGCACAGACAAAGCGGCCGCAGCUGAGCUACAAGACAGGUCAUACAAUACCCAUAAAUCCACAUGCAAUCUGUCACUAGGAGUGCAAUCCCAAACUAAACAAUUCUCAGCCUGGAUCCAUAAUCUGAGCAGUUAAACUUCAGUUCAUGUUUAUAGACAGAUACCAAAUACAGAUGUGAUCUCUAAAUGCCACAGCCCAAAGGGCAGAUGGAACAAACAGAAGUGAGCUCCAGCAAUGACAGGUAGUUUUCCGAAACUUUACCUCAGAUUAGAGUUCAGCAUCAUGUUGUUAUGGUUGCUGUUCAGACAUGUCAUAAUCCUCAACUUAAAAUAUGCCUCUUUUGUCCAAUAGUGGCUUACUGAACUGCAGCUAGUUUAUAAACCGAACACAUGGGGAAGUCUGGUCUCUAUGAGAUUUAAUGAUAUUAACUCCCCAUAAUCCUCAUAACCCUGUAAAACAAAACUUACUCUUCCAGUUUUGCAAAUGUGGAAACCGAGGUUCAGAGAGGUCAGCAUACUUGUUAAGUGUUAGAGGGGGCUUCUGUGCCCAGCCAGGUCUUUCUGAUUUCAAAGCCUGUGUGCUCUUUCUACUGUAUCAAGCUGUGUAAAGAGCAGCAUGUCAAACACACAAGAAUAACUGUGACCCUUUUUAAGUUAUUACGACUAGAAGACACCAAUUUAUUCUCAAUUUCAAAUCUAUAUAAAGCCUUACUGGAGACCCCCACCUAGAGCAACUAACUCCCCCCAAAAGUCUUUUUUGUUUCUUCUGAUGGUUUCAGGAUACUGUAUUAAUUAGACCCACAUCAUUUAUUCUUCCAAUACUGAUGAAGUGUGUGGCAAUUCACCCAUACUCUCUUGCUCGGGCCAUCUUGAAACCCAGAAUGAAAAUAUGUAGAAUGUGCCAAACAAGAAGUGGAUCCUACAGCUACUGAGCAGUGGGGAGCUGGCUGGUCCCCUAAAUCUGUGUUUGGUUAGGGAUACACAGGAGGCUUUAGAAUUGACAGGGUUUUGACUCAAACCCCAGCUCCCUUGCCAUUGUCAACUCACUUAUCCUACUUCAAACUGUCCCCAGGUAAGUAAAAUCCACCCAUAGAGUCACUGUUAGGAUUCAUGUUUAUUAACUUUUGAGAGAGAGACAGAGCAUAAGUGGGACAGGGGCAGAGAGAGAGGGAGACACAGAAUCCCAAGCAGUCUAUUAUAGACAUCUGACUCU